CCUACGGGAGGCAGCAGUGGGGAAUAUUGCACAAUGGGGGAAACCCUGAUGCAGCGACGCCGCGUGAGUGAAGAAGUAUUUCGGUAUGUAAAGCUCUAUCAGCAGGGAAGAAAAUGACGGUACCUGACUAAGAAGCCCCGGCUAACUACGUGCAAGCAGCCGCGGUAAUACGUAGGGGGCAAGCGUUAUCCGGAUUUACUGGGUGUAAAGGGAGCGUAGACGGCCAGACAAGUCAGAAGUGAAAGCCCAGGGCUCAACCCUGGGACUGCUUUUGAAACUGCCGGGCUGGAGUGAAGGAGAGGUAAGCGGAAUUCCUAGUGUAGCGGUGAAAUGCGUAGAUAUUAGGAGGAACAACAGUGGCGAAGGCGGCUUACUGGACUGUAACUGACGUUGAGGCUCGAAAGCGUGGGGAGCAAACAGGAUUAGAUACCCUGGUAGUC
rnacentral:rRNA from 1 species